GAUCAGAUAAUCAAUAGGGCAGUUAUCAGGAAUGCUAAUUCUCCCCAGAAGAGGAUUAUAAAUUACAUCACGCACAAGGUUCUGUCCCAGACAGAUUGGGUGCAGGUUUUCUUUAGGGCUGGCUUGCAGGUUCUCCGAUAGUGAUCUGAUCAUCACUCAGCCUAAUUUCAACCUGUGUAACUCCUUGAAGUUACAGUCAUGCACUGCAGGUUUUUUAAGCGCUUGUUACCUGAUGCUAUCAUACAAACUGCAUACCGUCUUCUCCGCAGGAUUGUAAGUUCCGUAAGCGCAGCAAUGUUAUUGAUUUGUUCACUGUGGUACCGUCACUUGCUACAACAAUGUCUGGCCCAUCAUAGGUGCUCAGGAGCAAGUUACCUGGAAAGAAAGAGUGUGCAGGAAAGGGUUAAGGGAAAAAUCUGCAGAACCCCCGUGGGGAGAUCUGGGGAGGAGAUGAACUCUGACAUUCGCCCAGUCUUUAUCUUUUCCUCCCAGGAGACUCACCCAAGGUCCUGGCAGCAGCUUA
rnacentral:lncRNA from 1 species